rnacentral:snRNA from 1 species
GUGCUCGCUUCGGCAGCACAUAUACUAAAAUUGGAACGACACAGAGAAGAUUAGCAUAGCCCCUACGCAAGGAUGACAUGCAAAUUCGUGAAGCGUUCCACAUUUUU